rnacentral:RNase_P_RNA from 3 species
UAAGUAGAGUAUGCGAUCGCGGCCGGCAGGACCGAAAGGGGCCGGCUGAGGAAAGUCCGGGCUUCACAGAGCAGAAUGCCGGAUAACGUCCGGCGGAGGUGACUCCAGGGACAGUGCAACAGAAAUAAACCGCCGCUUUUUGCGGUAAGGAUGGAAAGGCAGUGUAAGAGACUACCGACACCCUGGUAACAGGGUGUGCCAUGUAAACCCCAUUCGAAGCAAGACCGAAUUGUAAAGCUAUGUGGCUGCUCGUCACGCUUUCAGGUGGGUCGCUUGAACUUCCCGGCGACGGGAAGGCACAGAUAGAUGAUCGCACACGACAUAACCCGGCUUACAGCUCUGCUUAUGCA